GUUUUGAUGAACAGUUUGUGGCAAAAAUGGCUUGGGGUGAUUUCCAGAGGCCCUGAAAUUUCUGCUUUCUUUGGAAUGCUUCAGACAUCUCAGGAUGAAGCCUGCACCAGCCCACUGGAGGCCACUUGAAGAGGCAGCUAGUCCCAAGCAGGAGGAGCUGACCCCAACCCACUAUGGACGUGUGUCAGAUACCUGCUGGAUUUUGAGAACUGGAAUGGCUGCUGGAGAUAUUCCUCUGGGAUGUAGAAUGGAUGCUGGGGUUGAACUCAGGACCUUGCGCUCAUGAGGCAAGCAUGGCAUCACCGAGCUACAUCCCCGGCCCUGGAGAUAUUCCCAACCAGGGCAUACGCUCCCCUCUGCUUCCCUACGCUAUUAUAUAAAUGUCCAGUCUCAUUACCUGGGAUUCCCAAGUUUCUGCUUGUGUUCAUUUCAUCCUGUUUCUGAGCUCUCUCCCUCACGAAAAUCUCUCUUUGUGCCUUUGCUUCUGUUGCUCCCUCUCCCUUCCACUUGCUCCAGUUAGACACUGUAUAGAGAGCUCAGGUGUUAGUUUUUUGUGAAACUCUCCUGCUAUUCAUCCUGGAACCCUUAUCACUUAAUAUCUGAAUCAUAAUUCAAAUUGAUAAUCACUUUUUAAAGCACAUAAUAAAGCCUUUGUAAAUAGGGAGGCAUGGAGGAGUUCAUGGGAGGGCAGGGGAAUGGGGAAAAAAUAACCAAGAUAUAUCCUGUGAAGUUAUAGUUACAGAUUCUCAAUGACAUGUCAUCAUAUUGUAUACUUAAAAUGUACCAAUAAAAUUAAUGAAAAAAUGAGAUUUUAAGGUGCUUGAGCAAACACAAAAAAGCAUAUUGGCUCACAUGUUCUCACAUCCACUAUAGCAGAGAUGGUAAACCUUUUAGAGCUUUCAAUACUAGCAAACAGCCCACUGUGGCAUCCGUGCCAUAGGUUCAGCACCACUGCACUAUAGCAUCUAGUACAGUGUCUUGCCUAACAAAUGCUUGCCAGUGUGUUACUGAACUGCACAAAAAUGUAAGAAUUAGAAAUGUCAUGCUGGUGGGAUUACUUUUGGGGAAUAGUACCCUCAGACACCAUCUUGAUUCCAACCUUUAUCCCGUAGUGUCCUCUCAAUCCCUCUUCUAUACUUGCAACAGAAACACGUCUAGGCUGAACAACAGUGUCAGAUGGUAUGAAGAGUGGCAGCAUUAUCAAGAUACCUAGACCUUGGUUCUAAUUCUAACUGUAAACUGUGUGACCCCGGAAAUAUUUUCUUGACUCUCUGAGCUUCGGGUCACUCCUUUGUGAAAUAGAACCAAUGAAACCUCUGAAGGGUUGGUGUGAAAACAAAGUGUGAUGUAUAUAUCUGAUUUUCUUGCUCAGUUCAUAUCAAGUUAUUAUUAAAUUGCAG
rnacentral:lncRNA from 1 species